rnacentral:rRNA from 1 species
UCUGGUUGAUCCUGCCAGUAGUGAUAUGCUUGUUUCAAAGAUUAAGCCAUGCAUGUCUAAGUAUAAGCGAACUUAUACAGUGAAACUGCGGAUGGCUCAUUAAAACAGUUUGAAUUUAUUUGAUGAAUGUAUGAGAAUACUACUUGGAUAACCGUAGUAAUUCUAGAGCUAAUACAUGCAACGACGCCCGACCGUUUCACUACGGAAGGGCUGUAUUUAUUGGAUACCAAAACCAUCCUUCCCUCGGGAAGUUUUGUUUGAUGAUUCACAAUAACUGAUCGGAUCGCCACUGUGGUGGCGACAGGUCAUUCAACAUUCUGCCCUAUCAGCUUUCGAUGGUUGUGUAGUGGACAACCAUGGCCAUAACGGGUAACGGAGAAUCAGGGUUCGAUUCCGGAGAAGGAGCUUGAGAAUUGGCUACUACAUCUAAGGAAGGCAGCAGGCGCGCAAAUUACCCAAUCCCGAUUCGGGGAGGUAGUGACAAAAAAUAACAAUACCGGGCCUUUUUGGGCUUGGUAAUUGGAAUGAGGGAGAGUUAAACGGACCAUCGAGUAUCCAUUGGAGGGCAAGUCUGGUGCCAGCAGCUGCGGUAAUACCAGCUCCAAUAGCGUAUAUUAAAGUUGUUGCAGUUAAAAAGCUCGUAGUUGGACUUGUGUGCGCUGUCCGCGGGUGGCCUGCGCCCAAAAGGGCGUUUCGGUUCGGCCCCGGUGGCGCCUUGAAAUCUGCGGCUGGGGGGACGUUGGCCUUAACUGGUCGGCGACCGCACGCCGGCUGCUCGGUUACUGUGAGAAAAUUAGAGUGUUCAAGGCAGGCAUUGGGUGCAAUUGAAUACAUUAGCAUGGAAUAAUAAAAUAUGGCUCCUGCCGUAUUUUUGUUGGUUUUGACUGGUGGGAGUAAUGAUUGAUAGGGACGGUUGGGGGUGCUAGUAUUGAGCGGCCAGAGGUGAAAUUCAUGGAUUCGCUCAAGACUAACUUAUGCGAAAGCAUUCACCAAGGACGUCCUCUUUAAUCAAGAACGAAAGUUGGGGGAUCGAAGACGAUCAGAUACCGUCGUAGUCUCAACCAUACACUAUGUCGACUUGGGAUCGGCGGUAGUUUUUUCAUUAAGACACUGUCGGGACCACGGGAGAAAUCAAAGUGUCUGGACUCUGGGGGAAGUAUGGUCGCAAGGCUGAAACUUGAAGGAAUUGACGGAAGGGCACCACCAGGAGUGGAGCC